UACGAAGGGGGCUAGCGUUGUUCGGAAUUACUGGGCGUAAAGCGCGCGCAGGCGGUUCUUCAAGUCAGAGGUGAAAGCCCAGAGCUCAACUCUGGAAUGGCCUUUGAGACUAGAGAACUAGGGUACGGGAGAGGUGAGUGGAAUUCCGAGUGUAGAGGUGAAAUUCGUAGAUAUUAGGAAGAACACCAGUGGCGAAGGCGGCUCACUGGCUCGGUACUGACGCUGAGGCGCGAAAGCGUGGGGAGCAAACAGG
rnacentral:rRNA from 1 species